GAUUGUCAAGAUUAAGGUUUUGACGACAUAGCUUGAAUAAAAGUUCAAGAGAGUUCAAUCCUUUCAGCAGCUUUGAUGCAAACUGUAAACACAUAAAUAAAG
rnacentral:ncRNA from 1 species